rnacentral:rRNA from 1 species
UGCGCAGUAUAGGUGGGAGGCAAAGAAGAUAUGUUCGCGGAUGUAUAUGAGCCAUUAGUGAGAUACCACUCUGAUUAAACUAGAAUUCUAAUAUUGACUGCCAUAAGCUGGCCAAUAGACAGUUUCAGGUGGGCAGUUUGACUGGGGCGGUCGCCUCCUAAAAGGUAACGGAGGCGUGCAAAGGUUUCCUCAGGCUGGUCGGAAAUCAGUCGUAGAGUAUAAAGGCAUAAGGAAGCUUGACUGCGAGACCUACAAGUCGAGCAGAGACGAAAGUCGGCCUUAGUGAUCCGACAGUACUG